rnacentral:rRNA from 1 species
CCUACGGGAGGCAGCAGUGAGGAAUAUUGGUCAAUGGGCGAGAGCCUGAACCAGCCAAGUAGCGUGAAGGAUGACUGCCCUAUGGGUUGUAAACUUCUUUUAUACAGGAAUAAAGCGCAUUACGUGUACUGUUUUGCAUGUACUUUAUGAAUAAGGAUCGGCUAACUCCGUGCCAGCAGCCGCGGUAAUACGGAGGAUCCGAGCGUUAUCCGGAUUUAUUGGGUUUAAAGGGAGCGUAGGUGGACUGUUAAGUCAGUUGUGAAAGUUUGCGGCUCAACCGUAAAAUUGCAGUUGAUACUGGCAGUCUUGAGUACAGUUGAGGUAGGCGGAAUUCGUGGUGUAGCGGUGAAAUGCUUAGAUAUCACGAAGAACCCCGAUUGCGAAGGCAGCUUACUGAACUGGAACUGACACUGAUGCUCGAAAGUGUGGGUAUCAAACAGGAUUAGAUACCCGGGUAGUC